rnacentral:lncRNA from 1 species
AUUAGGACAGUUUAAAAAGAGAGUAUUUUGAAAAGAAAAAUCAGAGUUCGGGUAAGGGCUUGAGAUUAUCUCGAGGGGAAGGUGAUAGGCACCCCUCAAGAUCCACUAGUGUGGUUCCCAGCCUUGCUUAGUUAUGACUUUAAGAAGAAUAGAAAUAGACAAGCAAAGUUUGCACAUAAGAAAUGCAAGCAAGUUGACAAUUUUUAAAGAAGGAUGGAUCCCAGCCGUGUUAAUUGUGACUUUAUAAAAAUAUUAAGCAAUUAAACAAGCAAGGUUCACACAAAUAACAUGCACGCAACUUGAAACAAUGCUUUAAGAAAGAAGGCAGGACGUAAAUUUAAUAUAAAAGAGAGGAUCGAUUUAGAAAAGCAUUACUAUAGAAGCACAUAUAAAUAAAGCAAGCAAAAGAGAGAUGAGUCCUAGGAUCAUUCGAUACACUAUCCACACAUAUCCCAAAGAGGGGUCGCUAUAUGAUAUUAUCACAUCGUCAUCAUCUCCAUAUUCCACCCUUCUCACCCUGUUGAUGUAUUUGAACGCGUUGGUAUCAUUU